rnacentral:rRNA from 1 species
AAUCAAACCCGGAGAUAUCUCGUUCUCCCCGAAAUAGCUUUAGGGCUAGCGUCGCGCGUUCACCGCCGGAGGUAGAGCACCGGAUGGACGAGGGGGCUUCGCCGCCUACCGAAUCCAACCGAACUCCGAAUGCCGGCGGCCCAGAGCGCGGCAGUCAGAGCAUGUGGGCUAAGCUGUGUGCUCGAGAGGGAAACAGCCCGGACCGCCCGCUAAGGUCCCCAAGUUCCAGCCGAGUGGCAAAGGAUGUGCGUCCGCCCAGACAACCAGGAUGUUGGCUUAGAAGCAGCCAUCCAUUCAAAGAGUGCGUAACAGCUCACUGGUCGAGUGGACAUGCGCCGACAAUACACGGGGCUAAGCUGGACACCGAAGCGGCGGGAUUUUAAUUCAUUAGAAUCGGUAGGGGAGCUUCCCAUGGGCGGAGAAGCCGGAGGGCGACCGACGGUGGAGCGCAUGGGAGUGAGAAUGCUGGCAUGAGUAGCGAGAGACGAGAGAGUAACUCGUCCGCCGUGAACCCGAGGUUUCCUGGGCAAGGCUAAUCCUCCCAGGGUCAGUCGGGGGCUAAGGCGAGGCCGGGAGGCGUAGCCGACGCGCAGCAGGCAGACAUUCCUGCACCGCGCACGCGGCGCUACGACCGACGGGGCGACGGAUGGGGGUGGCUCGGCGGGGUUCUGGACGUCCCCGUGAUGGAGCGCGGCCCGCGGACCAGGGAAAUCCGGUCCGCAUCAAGGGCGAGGCUCCGGACGAAGCGACUGAGCGAAGCGAGUGAGCCCGAGGUCCCUAGAAAAACCCCUAGGCAGGCGCGUGCGCGCCCGUACCGCAAACCGACACAGGUGGGUGGGUAGAACAUACCGAGGCGAUCGGGUCAACCAUGGUCAAGGAACUCGGCACAAUGGCCCCGUAACUUCGGGAGAAGGGGUGCCCGCGCGUACGUGAACCGGCUCGCCCGGGGAGCGGAGGCGGGCCGCAGUGGAGAGGCCCAAGCGACUGUUUACCAAAAACACAGGACUCUGCAGAAGCCGCAAGGCGACGUAUAGGGUCUGACGCCUGCCCGGUGCCGGAAGGUCACGCGGAGGAGUUAGCCGCAAGGCGAAGCCCCGAAGCCAAGCCCCGGUAAACGGCGGCCGUAACUAUAACGGUCCUAAGGUAGCGAAAUUCCUUGUCGGGUAAGUUCCGACCUGCACGAAAGGCGCAACGACUUGGGCGCUGUCUCGACCAUGGACCCGGUGAAAUUGCACUGGUCGUGAAGAUGCGACUUACCCGCGGAAGGACGGAAAGACCCCGUGAACCUUCACUGCAGCUUGGCAUUGGCCGCUGGUCCCGCGUGUAGAGGAUAGGCAGGAGGCUAAGAUCCGGAGGCGCCAGCCCCCGGGGAGCCGCCCUUGGAAUACUGCCCUCGCGCGACCGGCGUCCUAACCCGAGGCCGUCAACCGGCUCGGGGACCGUGCCAGGCGGGCAGUUUGACUGGGGCGGUCGCCUCCUAAAGGGUAACGGAGGCGCGCGAAGGUCCGCUCGGGACGGUCGGCAACCGUCCUUUUGAAUGCAAGAGUACAAGCGGGCUUGACUGCGAGGCCCACAAGCCGAGCAGGUGCGAAAGCAGGCUCUAGUGAUCCGGCGGCCCCGAGUGGGUGGGCCGUCGCUCAACGGAUAAAAGGUACUCCGGGGAUAACAGGCUGAUCUUGCCCAAGAGUCCACAUCGACGGCAAGGUUUGGCACCUCGAUGUCGGCUCAUCGCAUCCUGGGGCUGGAGCAGGUCCCAAGGGUACGGCUGUUCGCCGUUUAAAGCGGUACGCGAGCUGGGUUCAGAACGUCGUGAGACAGUUCGGUCCCUAUCCUCCGUGGGCGCAGGAGAAUCGAUGGAGGCUGCCCCCAGUACGAGAGGACCGGGGUGGACGCACCUCCGGUGAACCGGUUGUCGACCAACGGCACGGCCGGGUAGCCGCGUGCGGCGCGGAUAACCGCUGAAGGCAUCUAAGCGGGAAGCCGUUCCAGGGAUUAGUUCUCCUUCCGGUAAGGGCCCAGGUAGACUACCUGGUCGAUAGACGGCAGGUGCAAGGACGGCGACGUCCUCAGCCGAGCCGCACUAAUCGCCCGAGCUCUUCCGGA